rnacentral:tRNA from 1 species
UUUUGGUUAGCUCAGUUGGUAGAGCACUACACUGCUAAUGUAGCUGUCGCGGGUUCAAAUCCCGCACCAGACA